GCCACCAUGGUGUAAUGGUUUGUGUGUUGGAUUACAACUCCAGAGAUCAGGGUUCAAUUCCUUGCUCAGCCA